rnacentral:rRNA from 1 species
UACGGGAGGCAGCAGUGGGGAAUAUUGCACAAUGGGCGCAAGCCUGAUGCAGCCAUGCCGCGUGUAUGAAGAAGGCCUUCGGGUUGUAAAGUACUUUCAGUCGUGAGGAAGGUGUUAAGGUUAAUAACCUUAGCAAUUGACGUUAGCGACAGAAGAAGCACCGGCUAACUCCGUGCCAGCAGCCGCGGUAAUACGGAGGGUGCGAGCGUUAAUCGGAAUUACUGGGCGUAAAGGGCACGCAGGCGGUUAAUUAAGUUGGAUGUGAAAUCCCCGGGCUUAACCUGGGAAUGGCAUUCAAGACUGGUUAGCUAGAGUCUUGUAGAGGGGGUAGAAUUCCAUGUGUAGCGGUGAAAUGCGUAGAGAUGUGGAGGAAUACCGGUGGCGAAGGCGGCCCCUGGCAAAGGACUGACGCUCAUGUGCGAAAGCGUGGGGAGCAAAC